ACUGAACGCUGGCGGCAGGCUUAACACAUGCAAGUCGAGCGGAGAUGAGGUGCUUGCACCUUAUCUUAGCGGCGGACGGGUGAGUAAUGCUUAGGAAUCUGCCUAUUAGUGGGGGACAACAUUCCGAAAGGAAUGCUAAUACCGCAUACGUCCUACGGGAGAAAGCAGGGGGUCUUCGGACCUUGCGCUAAUAGAUGAGCCUAAGUCGGAUUAGCUAGUUGGUGGGGUAAAGGCCUACCAAGGCGACGAUCUGUAGCGGGUCUGAGAGGAUGAUCCGCCACACUGGGACUGAAACACGGCCCAGACUCCUACGGGAGGCAGCAGUGGGGAAUAUUGGACAAUGGGGGGAACCCUGAUCCAGCCAUGCCGCGUGUGUGAAGAAGGCCUUAUGGUUGUAAAGCACUUUAAGCGAGGAGGAGGCUACUGAGACUAAUACUCUUGGAUAGUGGACGUUACUCGCAGAAUAAGCACCGGCUAACUCUGUGCCAGCAGCCGCAGUAACAC
rnacentral:rRNA from 1 species